AGGUGAUACUAUUGUUUGGCAGUAACCAUUCUACUGCUACAGAUAAACUAGACGGCAGCAAGCAUCUGUCAGAGAUAAUUAGAUAGCUGCUGUGCUUAAUGACCAUUUUAUCGGUCUCUGGUCAGUAAAUCAAAUGCAUCAUUAUGUAUAACAAUAUCCAGCUUAUCAAAACUACUAAUUAAAAGACGUUGCAACAAACAAUCUACUCUGAAAACAUUUUAUAGUUUGAUAUAAUAUAAGAAUCAUUGAUUACAUCUUUCAGCCGCUAUAAAUUGCAGUAAAUAAAACAGGAAUAGGAGUAUUUCUUCACUACCUGCCUAAGUAAAACAAUUUAUUUUAAACGAAUAUUAAAUACACUAUGUUCACUUUUUAUGUCUCAGGUCGAGGUGUUUUUGCGAAAAAAAUGAUCAGAAAUGGAAAAUUCCUUGCGGAAUACCAUGGCGUUUUAUCCAAAGCUGACGACGUGAAGGACAAAGAUACAAAUUACAUAUAUUUCUUUGACUUUAAUGGUGUCAAGUACUGCAUUGAUGCCUCAGAGGAACCAAAACUGUUUCAACCAUCGUUAGGACGGCUAGUAAAUCAUGCAGACAAAAAACAACAGAGAAAUUCAAGAAUAACAUUCAUUGGUGUGAAUAGGGUUCCUUAUCUUGUACUGUUUGCGACUAGAUUUGACUUGUAAUGAAAACUGCGACGAUGAGCCAGUUCAGUCUCCUGUAGAACGCAGAGCGUGUGAAUACCAAAGGAAGGUCUGUAGUUCGAUUGGUCAUGAGAACAACAGCAGUGGUGUAACAUCGGCUUCCAAACGCAAAGCAGAAUUUCCAGUACAAACAGGCAAAAAGAUCAAGGUCGUUCCUUGAACAGAGGAGCAGUUAGCGACCAUGCGAAGGUCAUUCGCCAAAACUCUGCGUUGCUUAAGAGUUCCUAACAAGGAGGAAUGCGAACGAGCAAGGAAAAAUGAGAGCCUGUUGCUUUCUCGUAACUGGAAGAACAUCAAAUUCCGUGUCCAUCAUGAAAUACAAAGAUUAAAGAAAAAAUGAAGUCAGUCUGAAAAAAAAAGUUAACAGAAAAAGAAACAUCCGUUAAACUUGCAAUGAAAUCUAACAGACAUACAUUUUCAAAAUGUAAAAAUGUUUAUGUGUGCGUUUUUUUGACAUAAAGUCCCCAGACACUCGUUCAUGUACAGUAUUGUUUUUGCUGGAUGUUCAUGUUAAGAGGUCAUGAAAUAUCGACAAAUUAUUAUCACGGGUUCGUUCAUGAAAAAAAAAAAUAAAUUGACUGAAAUAAAAGUAUUGUAGUUCUUCAAUUGAGGUUGUCGUUCUUAAUGAAAGCUAAAGAUUUAUCCAUUCGUCUAAGUUAUACCUCCCAAACAAUUAAUUCUUGCAGAAUUUGUACAGAACUUUUGUUUAGGUAUUAGUCCAUUAUCAUUCAUUUACAUUUAUUUACGAUAAAUACGUGUUCGCGGUCCGAAUACAUCUAUUCACCCUUUGCAAUGUGUUUGUUUUCAUCUUAACAGUGAUAGAAAUUUUUAAUUAAAGGCCUAGAUCUUGGCAGUGGGCCAAGGGAUUUCUAUCUUCACCAGCACAGUUUGGGGCUAAUGACUAUCACAGUAUGGUUCCAAUAAACAAGGAUCAUUGUUUAUUGGAGGUCAGUCUACCUUACAGAUGUAUCAAUUAGUGAGAAGGGGAAACAUAAAUAUUGAUAACUUUUAAAGUUAUACCUAUUU